GACGUAGGGUGCGAGCGUUGUCCGGAUUUAUUGGGCGUAAAGAGCUCGUAGGCGGCUUGUCGCGUCGACUGUGAAAUCCCGCGGCUCAACUGCGGGUCUGCAGUCGAUACGGGCAGGCUAGAGUUCGGUAGGGGAGACUGGAAUUCCUGGUGUAGCGGUGAAAUGCGCAGAUAUCAGGAGGAACACCGGUGGCGAAGGCGGGUCUCUGGGCCGAUACUGACGCUGAGGAGCGAAAGCGUGGGGAGCGAACAGG
rnacentral:rRNA from 1 species